CCAGAAUCACAUGUCUCCUAACCUCUCAAGAGCCCUUCAGAACCAGAGUGUCAGGACUGCUGCAUAUACUCUCCCCGAUGGCACCAUUGUAGACCCGAGACAACAACAACCCAUUUCCCCAAACCUGGCCAAGGCACUCGGCAACCCAGCUCUGCGUGAAGCCUCCUAUUCUCUCCCCGAUGGUACCAUUGUGAUUGACCCCAAGAAACCAAAGUCCCCAAACCUUUCAGCAGCUCUUCAGAACCCUUACCUGAAAGUUGCAUCUUACACCCUGCCUGAUGGUACAAUCAUCAUUGAUCCACGGAAACCGGUCUCUCCAAACCUCUCCGCCGCCCUUCAAAAGUCUGCCCUGCGGAACGCCUCCUUCACACUACCAGAAGGGGUCCAUGACCCCAAUAGACCCCUUUCACCCAACCUGGCUAAGGCCCUUGGUAAUCCAGCCCUGAAAGGAGCUUCAUACACCCUCCCAGAUGGAACUAUUAUUGUAGACCCGAGGAAACCAAAGAGUCCAAGCCUGGCUGCUGCACUACAGAAUCCUUACCUUAAGGGUGUGUCCUUAACCCUGCCUGAUGGAACAAUCAUCAUUGACCCACGAAAACCAGUUGGCCCUGACCUGUCCAGAGCUCUCAUGAAUCAGAACCUGCGUAGUGCUUCGUACAUCCUCCCGGAUGGAUCCCUGGUUAUUCCGGGCCAAAAACCCUCUACUCCAAACCUUUCAGCCGCUCUCAGGCAAAACCAUGCACUUCGGUCGGAAGGUCUCUAUCAUCUCAGAGAAAACUCUGUACUGUCCGGCACACCCAAACCCACCCCUCCUAAUCUAUCCGCUGCACUGCGGAAAGACGAACUCCGUGAUGUCAAAUAUAGGCUGCCUGACGGCUCUGUUCUCACACGCCGUUUCCACGUCCCAAAUCUGUCUGAAGCCGUCCAAAACCAGCAGCUUCGCUAUGCCUCAUAC
ensembl:lncRNA